rnacentral:rRNA from 1 species
GCAAGAUACCACGGGCGCACGGCGGAUGCCUUGGCACAGGGAGCCGAUGAAGGACGCGGCAAGCUGCGAUAAUCCCCGGCGAGGAGCACACAUCCUUCGACCCGGGGGUCUCCGAAUGGGCGAACCCAUCCGUAGCAGUACGGAUAUCCCGAUCCUGAACGCAUAGGGGCCGGGAGGACAACCCGGGGAACUGAAACAUCUAAGUACCCGGAGGAGAGGAAAUCAAUCUCGAGACUCCCCGAGUAGCGGCGAGCGAAAGGGGACCGAUGGCCAAACCGUCGAGCGGGCAUACCCGGCAGGGGUUCCGCCGGCGGGGUUGCAGGGCCGCGCAUCCGGGGGCUGCCGCCCCCGGGCGCAGGUCCGGCUGGGGAGCGGAACGGCAUGGGAGGGCCGGCCGCAGCGGGUGACAGCCCCGUACGCGAACCCAGACCGGACGGCGCGACGCGGUCCCUGAGUAGGGCCGGGCACGUGAAACCCGGUCCGAACCUGGGUGGACCACCAUCCAAGCCUGAGUACUACCCUGUGACCGAUAGCGCACCAGUACCGUGAGGGAAAGGUGAAAAGCACCCCGGGAGGGGAGUGAAACAGUACCUGAAACCGUGCGCCCACGAGCAGUCGGAGCACCCUUGUGGUGUGACGGCGUGCCUUUUGUAGAAUGAGCCAGCGAGUCGCUGGCGCGGGGCGAGGUUAACCGAAAGGGAGCCGGAGCGAAAGCGAGCCUUAACAGGGCGACUUGAGUCCCGCGCCGCGGACGCGAAGCCGGGUGAGCUAUCCGUGGGCAGGCUGAAGCGGGGGUAAGACCCCGUGGAGGGCCGAACGCACGUCGGUUGAAAACGGCGGCGAUGACCUGCGGAUAGGGGUGAAAGGCCAAUCAAACCCGGAGAUAUCUCGUUCUCCCCGAAAUAGCUUUAGGGCUAGCCUCGGCCGUUAACCCGCGGUGGUAGAGCCACCGGAUCGACGAGGGGGCUUCACCGCCUACCGACUCGAACCGAACUCCGAAUGCCGCGGGUCGAGAGGCCGGGAGUCAGAGGGCGUGGGCUAAGCUGCGCGCUCGAGAGGGAAACAGCCCAGACCGCCCGCUAAGGUCCCCAAGUCAUCGCUGAGUGGCAAAGGAUGUGCGUCUGCCCAGACAACCAGGAUGUUGGCUUAGAAGCAGCCAUGCAUUUAAAGAGUGCGUAACAGCUCACUGGUCGAGUGGACAUGCGCCGACAAUUCACGGGGCUAAGCGAUGCACCGAAGCGGCGGACUGAGAAUUCAGUGGUAGGGGAGCUCUCCGCGGGGGGCGAAGCAGCAGGGCGACCUGCUGUGGACCGCGCGGAGGUGAGAAUGCUGGCAUGAGUAACGAGACCAGGGCGAGAAACCCUGGCGCCGUGAGCCUAAGGGUUCCUGGGCGAGGCUAAUCCCCCCAGGGUCAGUCGGGAGCUAAGGCGAGGCCGAGAGGCGUAGCCGAUGCGCAGCGGGCAGACAUUCCCGCACCGCCGACGGCGCGGCAUUACCGAUGGGGCGACGGAGAAGGGUAGCCGGGCGGGGUUCUGGACGUCCCCGUGAAAGCGCGUAGGGCGCGCAGCGUGGAAAUCAGCUGCGCACAGGGCCUGAGACGCGAGACGAAGCGACUGAGCGAAGCCGGUGAGCCCAUGCUUCCGAGAAAAACCUCUAGGGAGUGCCGUCGGCGCCCGUACCAAAACCGACACAGGUGGGCGGGUAGAACAUACCGAGGCGAUCGGGAGAACCACGGUUAAGGAACUCGGCAUACUGGCCCCGUAACUUCGGGAGAAGGGGCGCCGCCGGCUGUGAACGCCCUCGCGGCGGGAGCGGCUGGCGGCCGCAGCGAAACGGCCCAAGCGACUGUUUAUCAAAAACACAGGACUCUGCAAAGCGGUAACGCGACGUAUAGGGUCUGACGCCUGCCCGGUGCCGGAAGGUUACGCGGAUGCGUCAGCCGAAAGGCGAAGCGCUGAAGCCAAGCCCCGGUAAACGGCGGCCGUAACUAUAACGGUCCUAAGGUAGCGAAAUUCCUUGUCGGGUAAGUUCCG